CUCAAACACACAUAAACUCACGAUUCUUUUCCAGUUUUUGAUUCAAUGUUUGAAGUCAAAUUGAUGAAUUAGGGUUAAUUGUCUCUAAUCACACACAUCUUUUUCCAGUUUUUGUUUAAAUGUUUGAAGCCAAAUGAUGUAUUCGGAUUUAAAAUCUCACGACGGUCGUCUGAGCACGAUUUGAUGCAGUAAUAAUCCAAUUUCUCUGAUGGUUUCUUUCUAUUCAUUUCUCGAAACAGUUUUUUAUUUUUAUUAUUUUUUUCUGUUUAAAUUAUUUCUCUUAAUUACUAUAAAUAUAUUUUUUAAUUUCUUAAUCCUACUUUUGCUUUGACUUAGAUGAAAUCGGCGUAAUUUGAAUGAACUCACUGAUUUGGCCUACUUUUGUAUUUCUUAUGAUUUUCAUUAUUUCUAAUUUUUACUGCCUUUAAUCCUUCCUAUACAACAAAGACAGUAGGAUAAAAUUUAUUCAAUUCCUUAGCAUUUUUGGGGCUGAAGUUUGGCUCUUGGGCGACUGAUACAAUGCCUUUGGGAUGAAUCCAGCACCCGAGAUCAGUUCAUUCAUUCAGUUGAAUUCAGUGACGGAUCCAACACUCGGCGAGGUAGAGCAGUCGCCAGUGCUGGAUCCGUCGGAAUUUACAGGUUAGAAUUGUUGGAUGAAGCCUUACCAUUUUUGCCGUCUCCUGGGAGGUUGAAGGAAAGGGAUGAAGAAUUGGGCCACUCUCUCCAUUUUUUUUUUUUUUUAAAUUAGGCCCAUUAUCCAGGCCUGCAAGCUCAUGAUAUGAAUUCCAAUUAAGCUACUCCUAUGUAUCCUUAAGAAUUUUGCAAAAAUCAAACAAAGCAAAAAAGCCCUAUCUUCCUCCGAUUGCACAGUCGACGCUGAGCCUUCGGCCUUGUGAGUUGUGAUCUUUUGAUGCCGAGCCUUCACCCUAAACCACUGCUUGCUGCAGCCGCCCCCUGUGUGAGCCUCUCUUAUUUUAUUUUUUAGUUCAUUUUUUUAAUGCCAUUUUCAUUGGAAAUGUUUUAUGAUUUAUGUAUCUAUGGUUUAUGUUUUAUGACUAUGAGCCUGCUACUACUGAGGUUUGUCCGUUUAUGAUUUUUGAAAUUUUGUUUUGGUUGGGCUGGUUGUGUGUGUUGUAAGAUAAUGACCUAUAUUUGUUUUUUCUCCUCUUUAUAGUGUGUUUUGACAAAUUUUA